CGAGACCAGCCUGGUCCGACACGGCAAAACCCUGUCUCUACUAAAAUACAAAAAAUUAGCUGGGCGUGGUGGCGGGUUCCUGUAAUCCCAGCUACUAGAAAGGCUGAGGCAGGAGAAUUGCUUGAACCUGGGAGGCGGAGGUUGUAGUGAGCCGACAUCACGCUACUGCACUGCAGCCUGGGCAACAGAGCGAGACUCCAUUUCAAAAAAAAAAAAAAAAGAAUGGCUACUCCAUAGGCAGAGCGGCCCCAAAGGCUGCUGGUUGCCCAUUUUCAUGGUUAUUUCUUGAUCAUAUGCUAAACAAGGGGUGAACUAUUCAUGAGUUUUCCAGGAAAAGGGUGGGCAAUUCCCAGAACUGAGAGUUUCUCCCCUCCCUUUUGAGACCUUAUAAGGUAACCUCCAGACGUUGUCAUGGCAUCUGUAAACUGUCAUGGUGCUGGUGGGGGUGUCUUUUAGCAGCUAAUGCAUUCUAAUUAGCAUAUAAUGAGCCGUGAGGACAAUCAGAGGUCACUCUCGUGGCCACCUUGGGUUUGGUGGGCUUUGGCCGGCUUCUUUACUGCAAACUGCUUUAUCAGCAAGGUCUUCAUGACCUGUAUCUUGUGCGACCUCCUAUCUCAUCCUGGGACUAAGAAUGCCUAACCUCCUGGGAAUGCAGCCCGGCAGGUCUCAGCCUCACUUUACCCAGCCCCCAUUCAAGAUGGAGCUGCUCUGGUUCACAUGUCUCUGACAAGUUGACCUGGGUUGAGUGUUCCAUAGCGUGUGGUUGUUGGAGCUUUUCUUAGGAGUAAGAAGUAUUGUUAGUAGGAAACAGGCCUCUAUUGGCCCUGGGGCUGGCACUCUGCCCCAGUAUGUCAGUCUCAUUUUAGUGGUGACCAAACUGGGGCUCAGAGAAAUCAACUCCCUCACCCCGAACCCCCAGACUGUGAGUGGUGGGCUGGGGUUUGAAUGUGGGGCUUGAAGACCCACCGUUUCCUCUGGUCCCCCAUGCUCUGCUGCCCGAGAGGAACAGGAUCCCAGGAUCCAGGCCCCUGAUGGCACCAGCCAGGGUGGGUGGAAAUGGGGAGGCACAGUCCCAAAGCCCCCAGGACUCUGAGGCAGGUCGGGGGCUGAGAGCAACCCGGAACUGCAGACCCCACCCCGAGAGGAAUGGCUCAUGGUGACCUGGCACAGGUCUGUUGGACUCG
rnacentral:lncRNA from 1 species